rnacentral:rRNA from 1 species
GAGUUUGAUCGUGGCUCAGGACGAACGCUGGCGGUGUGCUUAACACAUGCAAGUCGAGCGGAAAGGCCCUUCGGGGUACUCGAGCGGCGAACGGGUGAGUAACACGUGAGUAACCUGCCCCAGGCUUUGGGAUAACCCUCGGAAACGGGGGCUAAUACCGGAUAUUCACUUUCCGUGGCAUCAUGGUUGGUGGAAAGUUUUUCGGCUUGGGAUGGGCUCGCGGCCUAUCAGCUUGUUGGUGGGGUGAUGGCCUACCAAGGCGACGACGGGUAGCCGGCCUGAGAGGGCGACCGGCCACACUGGGACUGAGACACGGCCCAGACUCCUACGGGAGGCAGCAGUGGGGAAUAUUGCACAAUGGGCGGAAGCCUGAUGCAGCGACGCCGCGUGAGGGAUGAAGGCCUUCGGGUUGUAACCGUACUUUCGUCCAGGGACGAAGACGCAAGUGACGGUACCUCGGAGAAGGAAGACGCCGGCCGAACUACGUGCCAGCAGCCGCUGU